CAGUCGCCACGGUAAUACGUAGGUGGCAAGCGUUGUCCGGAUUUACUGGGCGUAAAGCGCGCGCAGGCGGAUGGUUAAGUAGGAAGUGAAAGGUUGGAGCUCAACCCCAACAUUGCUCCCUAUACUGGCCGUCUUGAGUCCCGGAGAGGAAAGCGGAACGACACGUGGAGCGGUGAAAUGCGUUGAUAUGUGUCGGAACACCAAUGGCGAAGGCAGCCUUCUGGACGGGUACUGACGCUCAGGCGCGAAAGCCGAGGUAGCGAACAGGAUUAGAUACCCGCGUAGUCCCUGUCUCUUAUAC
rnacentral:rRNA from 1 species